UACGUAGGGUGCGAGCGUUAAUCGGAAUUACUGGGCGUAAAGCGUGCGCAGGCGGUUCGUUAAGUCAGCUGUGAAAGCCCCGGGCUCAACCUGGGAACUGCGGUUGAAACUGGCGAACUAGAAUCUGGCAGAGGGGAGUGGAAUUCCACGUGUAGCGGUGAAAUGCGUAGAGAUGUGGAGGAACACCAGUGGCGAAGGCGACUCUUUGGCCUGUAACUGACACUGAGGCGCGAAAGCGUGGGGAGCAAACAGG
rnacentral:rRNA from 1 species